rnacentral:rRNA from 1 species
GCGGUGGAGCAUGUGGUUUAAUUCGAAGCAACGCGCAGAACCUUACCAGCCUUUGACAUGCCCGGCGACCCAGAGAGAUCUGGGGUUCCCCGUUCGGGGACCGGGACACAGGUGCUGCAUGGCUGUCGUCAGCUCGUGUCGUGAGAUGUUGGGUUAAGUCCCGCAACGAGCGCAACCCUCGCCCUUAGUUGCCAGCAUUCAGUUGGGCACUCUAGGGGGACUGCCGGUGAUAAGCCGCGAGGAAGGUGGGGAUGACGUCAAGUCCUCAUGGCCCUUACAGGCUGGGCUACACACGUGCUACAAUGGCGGUGACAAUGGGCGGCGACCUUGCGAGAGGAAGCUAAUCCCAAAAAGCCGUCUCAGUUCGGAUUGCACUCUGCAACUCGAGUGCAUGAAGUCGGAAUCGCUAGUAAUCGCGCAACAGCAUGGCGCGGUGAAUACGUUCCCGGGCCUU